rnacentral:rRNA from 1 species
GUAGGUGGCGAGCGUUAUCCGGAAUGAUUGGGCGUAAAGGGUGCGUAGGUGGCAGAUCAAGUCUGGGGUAAAAGGUAUGGGCUCAACCCGUACUGGCUCUGGAAACUGAUCAGCUAGAGAACAGAAGAGGACGGCGGAACUCCACGUGUAGCGGUAAAAUGCGUAGAUAUAUGGAAGAACACCGGUGGCGAAGGCGGCCGUCUGGUCUGAUUCUGACACUGAAGCACGAAAGCGUGGGGAGCAAAUAGGAUUAGAUACCCUAGUAGUCCACGCCGUAAACGAUGAGAACUAGGUGUUGGGGGAAUAACUCAGUGCCGCAGUUAACGCAGUAAGCAUCCCACCUGGGGAGU